GCUAGAGAGAAGAAAAUGCUCUGUGCCAGCAGCUGAAGUGCAAGCGGGUGACUGCGGUGCAGCUGAUGUGUGACCCAUGGACUGCAGGCCAGUCUCAGUUGGAUAGCUGGACACAACUGUUUCCCUGCCCUGGAAAUGGACCCAAAGGAAUCAGAAACAAAGGACGCUGAUGCUGCUUUUCAUCUUCUGCCCAAGGAGAAUAAAUGUUUGUGCAAACCUUUUUUCAUGUGGCUGCCCAGAAAUGACCCAAGUGAAGCCAAGAAGCUGAACAUUAAGCAACCACCCCCUGGCCAUGCUGCUGAAAUGAGAGAACGUGUCCUCUGACCCUGCAUGACAUUGCCCACUUGUAAAUUUUCUUGCCUGAAGAUUUGCUGCUCUGCUGUGCCUCAGAGGGGAAAAGCUGCAGCCAUGACUGACCUAAAGGGCUCACCCACAUCACACCAAAUAUCCCUUCCUCAGCACCAGUUGGCCAAACUCCAUCGUGGGAGCCUGCAGCUCCUGCAGUGUCCCUGGGGAGGACACUGUGAGUCCCAGCCCCUGCAGCUGGAGCAGAGCUCUCCCUGAGCCCCUCAUACACAGAUUUUACCUGAGCAAACACAGGCCAGAAGGGACCUGCAGUGACAUCCACCAGGGAUCUGCACCACACUGCCCAGCAGGCAAGACUUACAGGGGGGGCACCUUUUCUCUGCAAUCUAGCCAC